GUCUGUGCCCCAUCCAGCGUCUGUGAACCCUCCGGCAUCUCUGCACCCUCCGGCAUCUCUGCACACUCCAGUGCAGCUUCUUAUCCAAAAGUCAUUACACUGUCUAACAGUGAUAACAAACCUACCUCAUCAACUCGAGCCCAAACCACCUGCUCGAGUAACCCAAUAAUAAUUAGGUCAAAGCCCCAAAAAACUACAUGCACAUUCUGCAAUUUAAUUGUUAAUAAAAAAAACAUCAAGAUACACAUUCAAAGAUGUCACUCAACAGCAGAUACAGAUGUAACGGCAAAUCACCAUCUACCAUCCCAAUGCAUAGACCGUAAUAAUGGCAUUUUUGCUGUCAGAAGAAGCUUUUCUGGAUUUGGAAACCCCAUACACGUACAAAAAAGAAAUAUUGGCACUGCCCAUGCUCUAAGCCAAGGAAUUCAUGUCCUCAUAAGUCCAUUGCGAAAUGGCACUUGAACCAGACUCAUCCUGAACUUUUUCUAAAAGUCAGAUGUACAGACAGUGAUGUGUUUGACACAUUUGCAGAAACUUGUCCUCAAGAUGUGCACAGUACUGAGGAAAGACUUCAAUAUCCACCUAAUGGAAACGCUUUGACGGCAAUUGUCCUUUACUUGCUGAACAACAAGAAAUUGCCAGCUGGUCUGCCAAAAGAUGUUUGUUCACCACAGAACAUGGAAACACUCCCCAAGCACCUCAUUCCACUGGAGACUUUUUGCACUGUAUGCCCAGGAAAGAUCCCUCUUUCGGAUCCAAUCUUAAUUACACAGAAAGCGAAAAUUGUCACGUUCACAGGCAUACUGGAAGAUGUGACCACAUACUGUAAAAGGUGUGGGUUGUGUGGACAUUUUUACCGAUACCAGGAAUGGGCAGAGGGGCUGCACAAUUUUGAUGACCACACAAUAUUAACACUGCAUCUUUGUCUGUUCUUGAGACAGUCUGUACAGAAUCACACUGCAGUUGGCAGGGCCUUGGACAUCUUAGAACAGACCAAC